CGCGCCCUCGCAGGAGAGCGAGGCGCCCGAUGCGCCUCCGCCGAAGGCGCAAACUCCCAUGAUCGCUCAGGCCCAGCACUGCGAGAUUCCG
rnacentral:ncRNA from 2 species